GACGAACGCUGGCGGCGUGCUUAACACAUGCAAGUCGAACGAGUGGCGAACGGGUGAGUAAUACGUGAGUAACCUGCCCUCUUUUUGGGAUAAGCCUUGGAAACGGGGUCUAAUACCGGAUAAAGGGGGAUGGGCGCGCGGCCUAUCAGCUUGUUGGUGGGGUGGUGGCCUACCAAGGCGGUGACGGGUAGCCGGGCUGAGGGGGUGACCGGCCACAUGGGGACUGAGAUACGGCCCAGACUCCUACGGGAGGGAGCAGUGGGGGAUAUUGCACAAUGGGCGAAAGCGUGAUGCCGCGACGCCGCGGGGGGGAUGAAGGCUUUCGGGUUGUAAACCUCUUUCGCUAUGGAAAGGGUAGGUGGAGAAGAAGCGCCGGCUAACUACGUGCCAGCAGCCGCGGUAAUAC
rnacentral:rRNA from 1 species